GAUGAAAAAAGUGAAAAGGAAGAUGAAUAAAUUAAUCAUCAUUAGUUUAUAAAGUUGGUUUAAGAAAAAAGUGAAACUAAUUAUAAGAUUAAAGAAGAGAGUGGAUCAAAGAUGAGCAAGAAGAAGUACAUUAGUUACCAAAAUAACUUAUAAGAUUUUUUGUCAGGCUUCAUGUUCAAUUCCAAAUAAACGAUCUCAAUUUGAUUAAAAACGUUAUGUAUUUUUUGAAUAAUAUGAUCUUUCAUUAUUAUUUCUAGAGAAAAUAUAAUAGUUUAUGCAUAAUUACAUACAAAAUUACAUAAUCCAUUUAAUACUAAACUGUAAUUAUCAUUUUAUCCUUACAGAAUACCUUAGCGGGUGAUCCUUAAGAACCUAAAAAUUGUUACACUUGUCGUUUAUUUCCCUAAUUUGGUCAAUUUUGUGCAGUAAAGUAGAUUUACGCUCUUAGGUAGUAGCAUAUGAUGCAAAUUUGUAGGGUGUAAAGCACAUUUAUUUUCAAAUUUAUGGUCGUAAAGGAAAUCUAUUUCGGUAAAUACAGUACUAGGGCAGUUUUCAAACACUGCCUUAGAAAAUACUAUAAAUUCUAAGCACUUUCUUCUUAGGUUUCAUUUAAAUAGCUAAAGAAACUAAGAUGCUAGAGCAAAAAGAAUUUUAUUUUUUUCGUUUUUUGCUCCUCCUGAAAAGUAGCGUUUUGUCCUUUACGACCUUUGAGCCCAGAGGUAUCGUUAUGGUGACUAAAAAUAAUA